GCAAUUUCCUAAUGACGAUGGCACAAAUGUACUGGCAAUCUGUUAACUCAAAAGCUUGUUAUGAUUUCAUCCUGAACUGAGCCUAUGAAGAAAGCUUUCUCCAGAAAUCUUGGGAAUAACUUUAGAAGAUUCUAAUUGUGCAGCUAAAUAACUUUGGAUGACUUAUUCCUCGUAACUUUUUUUUCAAUAUAUGAAAACAGCCUAAAGACAAAAUACAUUUAAUAAACUAAUCUUAUACAUGGUGCAAGCCGGAAAAAAAGUACGUUCAGUUUGGGGACAUAAUGCAGAAACCAUAAACUACUAUCAAAAGGCAUAAUAAACCCAACCUGAAGGAAAGCAGAACUGAAAGAUGCAGAGAGACUGAGGACUGCUGAUACUGUUGAAGCACCUAGACCAAGC
rnacentral:lncRNA from 10 species